rnacentral:rRNA from 1 species
GACGAACGCUGGCGGCGUGCUUAACACAUGCAAGUCGAACGAAGAGCGAUGGAAGCUUGCUUCUCUCAAUCUUAGUGGCGAACGGGUGAGUAACGCGUAAUCAACCUGCCCUUCAGAGGGGGACAACAGUUGGAAACGACUGCUAAUACCGCAUACGAUCUAAUCUCGGCAUCGAGGAUAGAUGAAAGGUGGCCUCUACAUGUAAGCUAUCACUGAAGGAGGGGAUUGCGUCUGAUUAGCUAGUUGGGGGGGUAACGGCCCACCAAGGCGAUGAUCAGUAGGCGGACUGAGAGGAUGGACGGCCACAUUGGGACUGAGACACGGCCCAGACUCCUACGGGAGGCAGCAGUGGGGAAUCUUCCGCAAUGGACGAAAGUCUGACGGAGCAACGCCGCGUGAGUGAUGACGGCCGUCGGGUUGUAAAGCUCUGUUAAUCGGGACGAAAGGCCUUCUUGCGAAUAGUGAGAAGGAUUGACGGUACCGGAAUAGAAAGCCACGGCUAACUACGUG